GUCUCCGCACCCCUGUGAAAACGCCCUUUUAGCCCACCUAGGGCCAAGGAGCUGGUAUCAGGCACAAAUUCUUAGCCCAAAACGCCUAGCUACGCCACACCUACACAGGAAUUCAGCAGUAAUUAACAUUGAGAAUAAGUGUCAACUUGACUCAGUCAGAGUAAAGAGAGCCGGCAAAUAUUGGUGCCAGCCGCCGCGGCUAUACCACAGGCUCAAAUUGAUUACCUUCGGCGUAAAGCGUGGUUAAAGUCACCUAGACAUUAUAGUUGAACCAAAAUUAAGCCGUUUUACGCUUAUUCACGGGGAAAAUCAAAGCCGAAAGCUACUAUAAUUAAAACAACUUGAACCCACGACAGUUGAGGCCCAAACUGGAAUUAGAUACUCCACUAUGCUCAACCGUAAACUUUUAAUUACACUCAAAUCGCCUGGGAACUACGAGCAAAGCUUAAAACCCAAAGGACUUGACGGUACCCCAUAUCCACCUAGAGGAGCCUGUCCUGUAAUCGACAACCCCCGCUAAACCUCACCAUUUUUAGUCAUCAGCCUGUAUACCUCCGUCGUCAGUUCACCCCGUGAGCGGUCUAAAGUGAGCUCAAUGCCCAUACGCCAAUACGUCAGGUCAAGGUGCAGCAAAUAGAAUGGGAAGAGAUGGGCUACACUUUCUAACUUAGAAGAUACGAAAGACUUUAUGAAACCUAGUCAGAAGGCGGAUUUAGUAGUAAAAAGAGACAAGAGAGCUCUUUUUAACAUGGCACUGGGGUGUGUACACACCGCCCGUCACCCUCUUCGAGGCGAUACAAAUAGUAU
rnacentral:rRNA from 1 species